AAAAAAGAAGAAGAAGCUACUGGCGUUACACGAUUGGAUUUACACUCACCACUCCACUCCACGCUCCUCGGUUCCCCCUCUGCGGAGAAGACAGAUAGCAGCGCCGCCGACCUCGCUUUCUUCCCCGCCCCGCCCCGCCCCGCCGUUGGAGAAGCUGGGGCAGCCACGUCCACCGGCUGCCGCGGCACCUCCAAGGCUUUCGCUCGCUCGCAUCUGGAGUGGAGAGGGCUGGAGGGGAUACAUUCAGCUUCAGCCGGUGCCUCAUCUCUUCCCCUUGCAUUAUUGGGCAGUGCUGCUGUUGAGACCUGAAUAAGCAUGUUGGUCAAACGGAGCAUCUUCGCUUCCUGCCCCCUCGAUGCUUUUUGCCCGUUCAUCAUAGUGCUGUUGGCGGCUGCGUACAUCCAUGUGCCAGCCACUGCUAUUGUUGCUGUUCCAAGUUCUCAUUGUUAUACAUUCGACAGUGAUAGCCACCUUGUUGACUUCACACACCUGGCCGGGAAGAAUUUUGAAUACAAUGAGGAGGGCUCAGUAACUUCUGACUUGGUUGUCCAGUUAUGCAAAGAUGUGCAGAGAAGGUCUCAGGCGGGUGGUUUCAUUGAUUUUGGCCGCUUUACAAAUCAUCGCUCUUUUGAGACUGGUUCAAAGCUGGUUGACUACAUCCAGAGAUUUCACAAUGGUGAUUUAGCGAAAUGUGAAACUACGUUUGAAGAGAUGGGCCGUACUGCACAGGUCAACAUUAUGUGUGGACGAUGCUCAAAUAAAGUAUGCAAAGAUGAACAUGGAUGCAUUUGCAGAGUAUCCUAUGAUGAAAGGAUGUGCAGGACGGUUGUUGAGCUAGCCAUUCCUUGUCCUAAAAGAGGCCCAAGAGUUUUUAAGGGUUUCACUGUGGGCUUCCACCCCCGGUCAUCCGAAGUGGUUUACAAUGGAUUGACUCAACUGGGAUUCGAACAACAUCAUGGGUUUAGCUUUCCAAGUGAGCAGAUUCACGUGUCUUUAUAUCUUAGCGCCAUGUCUUCUCUCGCAGACCUAGUUGGAAAACCUACCAUCAGGGUUAAUCCGAUGAAAGGGCUUGAUGUUAUGCUUACAGGAUCAGGGGCCAAUGGCGCCGUGCCUACUGCCCUGUCUCCAACAGUUCUGAAUGUGAAUUGGAUAUGUGAAAUCAUUCGAAGCAAUCCAUAUGUGGUGAAUGUUUCAAUCCCAGUGGUGGGCUACGAUCCAAUCGAAUUCACGCUUACCAAAGAAUGUGGUUACACACAAGAAAAAGAGAGUGAUUCUAUGAGAGGGUGGGCAACAUUUGGAAUCAUUUCUUGCAUAUUCAUUGUCUUUUCGAGCCUACUUUGUUGUGGGGGGUUCAUCUACAAAAGUCAUGUGGAGCAUCAGGAUGGUUUACAUGCACUGCCUGGGAUGACUACCGUGUCUGCCUUUCUGGAUGCUGUUGGAAGACCAAGAGGCUACCUAAGAGCAGGUGAUCCUAGUGGAAAUCAUUCAAGCCAAGCAUCGUGGGAGAACACUUCUGUUACCACACCAGCAGCACAGAGGACAAAUGAUGGAAGAUAUGGGAGAAUAUGAGCCAUGCUUAGUUUUGUGGAAUUUGUCUUGUAGUCGUGGAAAAGGAGCCUGAGAAGGGACGCGGCGAUGCGCGGUUCCUUGGUGAUCGCCUUCUUCAGGACGGAGACUACAAUCUCAUCAGCUUGCGGGCAUGUGGACCUGUAGAAAUGUGGAGAAAGGCUUGGCUUUGGACUGUGUCCAGUUGGAUGGGCACCCUCACCCUCAUGGUGAGCAGGGAAGAAGGCAAGGGAGGCUGAGAAGUAGAAAGAUGCAAUGAGGAUUGCGCCAAGGCAUCUCUUGGAUGAUGAACCCAUUAGCUUUGAUGCAAUGCUGCUGUGAUUUGGUUCUUGCACACUGCUUCCAUUUUAUAGAACUAGUACGUACUAAUGUGAUUCAAGUUGGACCGCAUGCAUCGUUCCAUCCACUCCACCUGCAUGUGGUAAGAUUAGGAACCAUGUAUGUGCUUCAGGUGUACCUGAUCUAGAGAGAGCUUUUGUUUUAGUUCCCUGAUCAUUUUCCACUAUCUCGUGUUCUAAACCAUUGCCUACUUUUUUUUUUUUGCGAGGAAAACCAUUGCCUACUUUCUCCUAUGAUUGGUCUGGUUCCAAAUGGAGAGCGACGGCAAUUGUUUCUUUUAGUAUAUGGAUAUGGUUUGUGCAUGGGCAGCAUUCAUUAGAGAAUGAUGGUAUCGGCUGCACCUACUCCAAAUGAUCCUUGGUCGAUGGGACAAGCGGAAGGAAAAGGGCAUCAAGUAAUUUUGAGGAGACCUCCAUUGAAUUGCAUGGCAAUAUAUGCCAAAGGAGCACGUAGUAAAUUGUUAAUGUUAUCAUGUGCGUGCAUGUCACCUCAGCCAGGACGAGGCUAGGAAUUGAGGUUAGGUAAGGCCUGGACUUGCAUUGACGUGCUGAUACCACGACAUGUGGGGGUUAGUACUACUAGUAGAACUGUAGAAGAAACAAGCCGUGUCUGACUGUCCGGCAUUAAAGGGCGCGCCGGAAAUUCUGGUUACACUGGCCGGCGUGAGCUCUGCCCUGCCUGCUUCCGAUGGCGCAGCUUCUUGGGAGA